UACGUAGGGUGCAAGCGUUGUCCGGAAUUAUUGGGCGUAAAGAGCUCGUAGGCGGUUUGUCGCGUUUGCUGUGAAAACUCGGGGCUUAACCCCGGGCCUGCAGUGGGUACGGGCAGACUAGAGUGCGGUAGGGGAGACUGGAAUUCCUGGUGUAGCGGUGAAAUGCGCAGAUAUCAGGAGGAACACCGGUGGCGAAGGCGGGUCUCUGGGCCGUAACUGACGCUGAGGAGCGAAAGCGUGGGGAGCGAACAGG
rnacentral:rRNA from 1 species